rnacentral:tRNA from 1 species
GCCUUCGUGGUGUAGUGGUCAGCACGCUCGGUGCGUAACCGAGAGGUCCGUGGUUCGAUUCCUCGCAAAGGCU